CCCUUGAUGGCGGCCCUCCCUGAAAACGAGGACUCUAAAUUUCAACAUCAAAACGACCUUGUGAGGAAAAGGAAAAAAAAAAAAAGAAAUUGACGAAAGUGCCGAUGAAGCGUUUUACCCGGAGGUGUGAGCGCAUGCGCACUGCGCCUGGGGAAAGCAAGCCGACGUCUGGGCGAUGCUUUGCUUGGGCUACGAAAAUCAUCAUCAUGACAGCCAGAGACUCUACGGCUAAAUUCUUUAACCCUGCAUACCUACAACAGACAUGACUAAGGAAAGGACGACAGCUGUUAAAAAAGACUUCUGGCACAUGGGGAAGUGGAGCCAGGAGUCUCGCUCCGGGGGUCUGUCUGAAGGAUAUCUGCAAGGAAUGGAAGUGGAGCCGAACCCUGUCCACCUGCUCGUCUCUCCGGGGCUGCAUUUCUAAAAUGCAAAAGUUGCAGUCUCUAGAGCCAGUAGAACAUAUUUCAUUAGAUGAUUCAAGGGGAAGCAGUUCUGGUGACAGAAGUCAUCAGGCUAAAUCGGAACAAAUUCAAGGAGGCUCGAGCUUCAGAGAAACUAUGUACUAAUUCCAGCUCCCCUGAGUUACUGACCUACACUCCCUGUGCCUGCUUCUUCCCCUGCAAAAUCAAUCGAUCAUAUUUAUUGAGCACUUACUAUUUGCAGAGCACUGUACUAAGUGCUUGGGAGAGUACA